rnacentral:rRNA from 1 species
UACGUAGGGACCAAGCGUUGUUCGGAUUUACUGGGCGUAAAGGGCGCGUAGGCGGCAAUUCAAGUCAUCUGUGAAAUCUCCGGGCUUAACCCGGAACGGUCAGAUGAUACUGCUUUGCUAGAGUGCGGAAGGGGCAAUCGGAAUUCUCGGUGUAGCGGUGAAAUGCGUAGAUAUCGGAAGGAACACCUGUGGCGAAAGCGGCUCACUGGACCAUUACUGACGCUGAUGCACGAAAGCUAGGGGAGCAAACAGG